rnacentral:rRNA from 1 species
AGAGUUUGAUUCUGGCUCAGAUUGAACGCUGGCGGCGUGCUUAACACAUGCAAGUCGAACGCGAAAGUGGCUUCGGCCACGAGUAGAGUGGCGCACGGGUGAGUAACGCGUGGAUAAUCUGCCUCUGCAAUCGGAAUAACGACUGGAAACGGUCGCUAAUACCGGAUACGCUUAAGUUUUACCUCUUAAGGAAAGAUGACCUCUAUUUAUAAGUUAUCGUGCAGAGAUGAGUCCGCGUCCCAUUAGCUUGUUGGCGGGGUAACGGCCCACCAAGGCGACGAUGGGUAGCCGAUUUAAGAGGAUGAUCGGCCACAUUGGAACUGAAACACGGUCCAAACUCCUACGGGAGGCAGCAGUGGGGAAUAUUGCGCAAUGGGCGAAAGCCUGACGCAGCGACGCCGCGUGAGGGAUGAAGGUCUUCGGAUCGUAAACCUCUGUCAGAAGGGAAAAAUGUACAGUGCCCCAAUCAACACUGUAUUGAUGGUACCUUCAGAGGAAGCACCGGCUAACUCCGUGCCAGCAGCCGCGGUAAUACGGAGGGUGCAAGCGUUAAUCGGAAUUACUGGGCGUAAAGCGCGCGUAGGUUGUUUUGUAAGUCAGAGGUGUAAUCCCACGGCUUAACCGUGGAACUGCCUUUGAUACUGCAUAACUUGGAUCCGGGAGAGGACAGCGGAAUUCCAGGUGUAGGAGUGAAAUCCGUAGAUAUCUGGAAGAACAUCAGUGGCGAAGGCGGCUGUCUGGACCGGUAUUGACGCUGAGGCGCGAAAGCGUGGGUAGCAAACAGGAUUAGAUACCCUGGUAGUCCACGCUGUAAACGAUGGAUGCUGGAUGUCGGGGCGCAAGCUUCGGUGUCGUAGUUAACGCGAUAAGCAUCCCGCCUGGGGACUACGGUCGCAAGGCUGAAACUCAAAGAAAUUGACGGGGGCC